rnacentral:rRNA from 1 species
AGUCAAACUUUCCAUGUAAUGCACGUUUAGUUUCUCCCUAUCGCUCCCCUAAAAAAACUCCCCCGUCUAGGCGGUGACUACGGUCCUUCUCUAAUCGACCGAUCUUUUGAUCGGAUUUGAGUCCUGAUGAGGGUUCUGCGGCCAUGGCGAAUUCCAGAGUCGUCCAACCAAGGGGAAAAGAGCAAGCCUGUGUCACAAACUCCCCUGCCGUCGUGGAAACUAGGGUCGUUCUCUACUCGACCGUUGUUUUGAUCGGAUUUGAGUCCUGAUGAGUGAAGCCAGGGUUCCGCGGCCAUGGCGAAUUCCAGAGUCGUCCAACCAAGGGGAAAGGAGCAAGCCUCUGUCAAUCGUUUCCCUCAAUGCCAUCGAAGUAUGUAUUCAUUUUCCUGUAAUCUCUGUGCUGAUCACCAACAUAUGUAGAUGAUCUUGGUUGCUCUCUGAACACACUUUGAAUCUUAUAGAUCUGUGUGGCUACUCUGUGCUGAUCACACACAUAUGUACGUGAUCUUGAUUGCUCUCUGAACUCACUUUGAAUCUUCUGGAUCUGUGUGGCAUAGCCAAUCAUCAUGCCUUUUAGAAUUACAGAAGUUAUGCAGAUUUGAUUCACAAGUUGUUUUCUCGGGAACAAAAGGUACUCAAAUGAUGCUACUCCCUUGUGAUAUGUAAAAUGAGACAUACAAAAUCUGUUUGCAGUCGUAACUGUAGAGCAGUAGCAAAAUCUGCUUUCAUUCUGCACUCGCCCUUGUGAUCUCCAGUGUACUAACACCUACCCACUUCCCUGCAACAUUGUGCUUUGCAGUUUACUCCUCGGCAUGGCCACACGAUCUGCAACGGUGCAGUCACCGCAUGGUCCCUCAGUAAGAGGUACCCACUACUAACUCAUGCCGUCAAGGGACUGCCUACUCUUGCUGUUCUCACCUGCAGCCCGCCCCACUUAGGCACUUAGUCCAAUGAAAAGUUGAUACAGGUCCUUCGAUCCAAAAUUAUAAACCAGCGAGUAAUGCAUGCAACUAUUUCUUAUUAUCUUCUAUAAACUCCAAAUUUAAUGCUCCCCGCAAAAAAAACUCUAAAUUUAAUGCGCACUAUAUUGAUGCAAAAAUAUGCAACCUCGAUUCAGUUUUCUUUCAUCAAGAUCCUCUUUUUUUCUACUUUGUUGUGGUCUGCACAUAAAAGCAUGGUUAGUCAGAUCCUUUCUAUUCAUGGAUUAUAUGUUUAUAUGCUUAAUUUGUUCAAUUGUUCUUCGCACUUUUGCAGUUUACUGAUGACUGAGUCUGUAGGAUGAUUCCGUUGUAGUCUGAAUUAUCGCUAUUGGAGUGUCCUAACUUCAUUGUUUGUUUAGUCAAGCAGCGUCAUUGUGCACAUAUGUGGAAUUGGGUUUAAUGUUUCCCAUUAAGUUAUAAAUUGUUAGAAGGAAAAAAUUUGAUCGAAGUAGACAGUAUUCUAAACCAAAUGUUCCUGCACUGUCCAUAUAGUUUACCCCCGUCCUUGAUUACAGCUAUCAAUAGAAGGCAUGUAUACACGUAGCUACAUUGUAGCCAUCUAUAUAUAUCCGUUAGACUGUUUCCUUGCAAAUAUUUGAGGUGUUUAUAGGUGCAGCUUAUCCAAAGAUGAGUUGGUGACAGUACGUACAUAAUUGAGAGGAUAACAUGAGUACCUCACCAUUUUGAUAGCCUUCCAUGGUCUAUGUUUUAUGAGCAGAACUUUGUUUUUUUGGUUAUUCUCUGACCCUUUCUAGAUGUAAGGAAAAAUAGUCACGAACAAUGGCCAUUAGAUUUUUUUUUACUAUUUAGGAAAGGCCAUUAAAUAUUACUACACCGUCUGAAAAUGAAUUUUUUUGAAUCUUUGUCAUGCAGUUCGCGCAUUUAUAUGACCGAAGUACUGAUGAUGUCGGUAAGUGUGUUCGUUGAGAUUUUCUAAUUUUGUUAACUGAACAUAUCAGUUUUGUCUCAUAAGGAACCUACCCGGACUGCCAUCUCAUUGCUAAAGAAAUGCAUUGCUCCACUUACAGUUAGCCAUCGCACAGCGGAGCUAAUUAAGUUGUCUUUCCAGGUUUAGCUUAUUCUAAAAGAAUUGUAUUUUCGCAUCUAUGCAUUCUCAUAGUAUAUGAAGCUCAACUAGAACCUUAUAGCCAAUCUAAUGAUAUAUAUUUCUGAACACUGCAAGUCACUCCAAAUUGUCUCUUCUUUUGAAUGCUUCACCUAGCCAAGUAUUGUUCUAUUUUCAGGUCUCAUGCCCUUUUGUUUGGCCUACAUGAGCUCAUGUAUGUCGCGAGGUUCAAUUAAACAUAAUUAGUGAUCCAGUUUCUUUGAUGAUGCAGUGUAUAAUUGAUUAUCAUGCAUGUUUCCACCACCACCAAUUAUAAUGGUACCUUUGUUUAUUCCCCAAAUCUGAAAGAGGAAGGCUUACAAAGUAACUUUCUUUAGCUGAAGAUUGUCACAAACAUUUACAUUUCAUAGCAAAACUGAUAACAUUUACCAACAACUUUUUUUUCAUUCUAGCACCGAGUAAGUGUUUGGGAGUUGGAAUAUAUUUUCACAUAGGAUCUCGGCUGAAAAUGAUUACAUGGAAGUUCCUUUAGUAUUUGGACUUUUAGAGGAUUUAGCCUUUUUUAUUAGGAUAGUAUACUAUGAUAAGUUAGCAGUGGUCUUAACAUAUUUGGGUUAUGCCGAGAUGAACCUCCUGCUCUGCAAAAUAUAGUUCUUGAUAAGACGUGAUAUACAACAUGAUAGAAUUUAAUUUAAUCAAUUAGGUACACAAUUGACUGUUGUGGGUUUGCUCUGGAUUUCCUCUAAAUGACAACCCUUUCUUUUCCAUUUCCUUUUUAUUGUCUACUUAACUUAGUUGCAACACAAUAUUUUUUUAUACUAUAAUAUUGCUUCUUAUAUAAUAAAUCCAAUUUCUCUAUUUACCCUGACAGAUUAUACCCACUGACCUUCUGUUUUCCAUAGUUCAGUUGGUGCUUUUGUAUGUCUUCUCUCAAACAAAAAAAAAAUGAAUUGUCCGUUAUAACUAUUCUAAAUAGUUAUUAAUUUUUAGGAAGCUGAAAUAUUGUUCUGCCAAAAAAUUUGUAAAGUGACAAGAAGGAUUUCAGUGAAUUCAAGAGAGAAAGGAAUUGUAUGCUCACAUCGAUGCAAACACUUCUUAAUGGCAAUCCUUCAAAUACCAUGUAACAUGUUUCUACCACAUCGAAUGUGUUUACGUCUUCUGUGCAAAGAAAUAGUGUUUGUCUGACUUUGUUUGGACCUAUCAUACAUUUUACUUUUGCUAUAUAUGCUUUACAUAAAUACUCUUAACUAUAAUGCUCGAUGGUGUUUUCUUGCUUUUUAUACAGAGUUCAGUUGGAGCCUACACUAAUAGUUUAGAGAUGGGCGAGGGAGCGAGGUGCCUGUUGGGAUGGAACACGUGAAUUCAGUUCAAGAUAUAAUUCAUGCGAGGAAAAAAUUUAUUUAUGUUGAUUCAAGUGUAUAUUUCAAAUCGCUAGGUGGAUGCAUUUUUUAUUGCACAAGCAGUAUUGUACGUGUAAAAAUGUAUAUUUAGAGAGAGGGUUCUUAGUGACACCGAAUGUGAGGUAGCUACUAAUAAUAAAUAGACUCGAGAAGAUUUGAUUUGUGGCUCUUUUUCUUCCUUUUUCUGUAGUACGUACUAGUAUAUAGAACAAAAGGAAGGGGGAAAAAACCAAGGAGGCUACAGAUGAAUGUGUGUG